rnacentral:ncRNA from 1 species
CAAAAGCUUGGUCCUGACUUUUCCAUCAGUUUUGGUUAAAUUUAUACAUGCAAGUAUCCGCACCCCUGUGAGAAUGCCCUACAUACUCCCUCGUUAGGAAAAUAGGAGCAGGCAUUAGGCACAACACUUGUUAGCCCACAACGCCUUGCUUAGCCACACCCCCAAGGGAAGUCAGCAGUAAUAAACAUUAAGCAAUAAGUGAAAACUUGACUUAGUUAAAACCAAAAGGGCCGGUAAAACCCGUGCCAGCCACCGCGGUUAUACGGGAAGGCCCAAAUUGAUGGACACCGGCGUAAAAAGUGGCUAAUAUAUACAGUAUUGCACUAAAGCCAAACACCUUCAAAGCUGUCAUACGCACUCGAAGGCAGGAAGUACUCCCACGAAAGUGGCUUUAAUUGAUAUUAUCCCACGAAAGCUAGGAAACAAACUGGGAUUAGAUACCCCACUAUGCCUAGCCCUAAACAAAAGUGAUUCCUUACACCCCUCACUUGCCCGGGAACUACGAGCCCCAGCUUAAAACCCAAAGGACUUGGCGGUGCUUUAGACCCCCCUAGAGGAGCCUGUUCUAGAACCGAUAAUCCCCGUUCAACCUCACCCUCCCUUGUUUUUCCCGCCUAUAUACCGCCGUCGUCAGCCUACCCUAUGAAGGAUAAAUAGUAAGCAUAAUUGGUAAAACCUAAAACGUCAGGUCGAGGUGUAGCUUACGGGAGGGGAAGAAAUGGGCUACAUUCACUGACUCAGUGAACACGGACAAUGCCUUGAAACAAGCAUUUAAAGGAGGAUUUAGCAGUAAGAAAAGAAAAGAGUGCUUUUCUGAAACUGGCCCUGAAGCGCGCACACACCGCCCGUCACUCUCCCCAAAAAACCACCAUGCCCUAAAUAAAAUGAACCUAAAACAAAGGGGAGGCAAGUCGUAACAUGGUAAGUGUACCGGAAGGUGCACUUGGAUAAAC